GAUGAACGCUGGCGGCGUGCCUAAUACAUGCAAGUCGAGCGAACAGACGAGGAGCUUGCUCCUCUGACGUUAGCGGCGGACGGGGGAGUAACACGUGGAGAACCUACCUAUAAGACUGGGAUAACUUCGGGAAACCGGAGCUAAUACCGGAUAAUAUAUUGAACCGCAUGGUUCAAUAGUGAAAGACGGUUUUGCUGUCACUUAUAGAUGGAUCCGCGCCGCAUUAGCUAGUUGGUAAGGUAACGGCUUACCAAGGCAACGAUGCGUAGCCGACCUGAGAGGGUGAUCGGCCACACUGGAACUGAGACACGGUCCAGACUCCUACGGGAGGCAGCAGUAGGGAAUCUUCCGCAAUGGGCGAAAGCCUGACGGAGCAACGCCGCGUGAGUGAUGAAGGUCUUCGGAUCGUAAAACUCUGUUAUUAGGGAAGAACAAAUGUGUAAGUAACUAUGCACGUCUUGACGGUACCUAAUCAGAAAGCCACGGCUAACUACGUG
rnacentral:rRNA from 1 species